UACGUAGGGUCCGAGCGUUUGUCCGGAAUUACUGGGCGUAAAGCGCGCGCAGGCGGCCCGCGAGGUGUCACGUGAAAGCCCCGGGGCUCAACCCGGGAGGGUCGUGGCAAACCGGCGGCUUGAGGCCGGUAGAGGUGGGUGGAACUCCUGGUGGAGUGGUGAAAUGCGUAGAGAUCAGGAAGAACACCCGUGGCGAAGGCGGCCCACUGGGCCGGUACUGACGC
rnacentral:rRNA from 1 species